rnacentral:tRNA from 1 species
AGGCAUAGUUCAAUGGUAGAACGAGUGCUUCCCAAGCAUUAAAUGCGGGUUCGAUUCCCGUUGCUUG